rnacentral:misc_RNA from 1 species
GGGCAGCGGCGGCGGCAGGAGCGACCUUCAGCAUAGCUGCCAUCAGCUGCGACGGGUCCUCGGCAUCAUCGUCACCCAACAAAUCGAAAGGGUUCAUGGUCGCCAUUUCCGAUAAAAUCAGCAGUGAACAGCAAAAUCCCCCACCCACUCAAGGAUUCUACUUCGAAAGGCGACCAGGAAACCCUAAGUUAACAAGUCCUCCAUGGUAAAACUAUACAGAUCUGUCAACAAGAGGGAAUAGGAUUAAGGUUUGAGAGAGAAAAGAGAAGAAGAGAGAGAGAGAUAAAAACCCUAGCCGC